ACUCUAUUUUUGUAUAUCUUUUUUUGUUUGAUAUAUUUUUAGGUUAGUCUUUGUAAAAUGUGGUAAUUUUUUUUUAUUUUGAAAGGAUAUUAAAAAUUUGAAUAUUGAACUGGAUUAGUACCCAGGUAGUCAAAAGUAAUUAAUUCGGGAGUAAAGUUGUAUUUAAACCGUAAAAAUAUUGGCUGACUUUAAAUUUUUCUUUGGAACAUGUGUGUGGAGAGUCCUCCUUUAUAGUGAAUCUUUUAGGUACAUGUAUGAUUGUUUAGUUUUUAUUAUUUCUGUAAAGCUAUGAUUAGGUUAAAACAGAUAUAUACUUGGCAUAUAGAUUUAUUUCUCAUGUGUUACUAUUAGUAAGUUUUUGGAUAAAUUUUUAAUUUUUUUUUGAAAUUGGAAAAGACAGUAAUUUUUUCUUAAUGUAAAAAUGAAUUUAAUAAUUAAAGUGGUACAAA
rnacentral:rRNA from 1 species